GACGAACGCUGGCGGCGUGCUUAACACAUGCAAGUCGAACGGAAAGGCCCUGCUUUUGUGGGGUGCUCGAGUGGCGAACGGGUGAGUAACACGUGAGUAACCUGCCCUUGACUUUGGGAUAACUUCAGGAAACUGGGGCUAAUACCGGAUAGGAGCUCCUGCUGCAUGGUGGGGGUUGGAAAGUCUAGGCGGGUGGGGAUGGACUCGCGGCUUAUGAGCUUGCUGGUGGGGUAGUGGCUUACCAAGGCUUUGACGGGUAGCCGGCCUGAGAGGGUGACCGGCCACAAUGGGACUACGAUACGGCGCAGACUCCUACGGGAGGCAGCAGGGGGGAAUAUGGCACAAUGGGCGGAAGUCUGAUGCGGCAACGCCGCGUGCGGGAUGACGGCCUUCGGGUUGAAAACCGCUUUCGCCUGUGACGAAGCGGGAGUGACGGUAAUGGGUAAAGAAGCACCGGCUAACUACGUG
rnacentral:rRNA from 1 species